rnacentral:ncRNA from 1 species
AGGGAAGUAGGCAAGCCAGAUCCAUAACUUUGGGAUAAAGAUUGGUUCUAAGGGCUGGGCAUGAACUGCAGCUGGAUGAGGGACCACCCUCUCCUUGGGGGGGAAGGGGGAGGCAGCAACUCUUGACACAAGCCAGGCCCUUCCUGUGGAUUGUCGCAGCUGUGGUGGGUGUUGCUCACCUCUCCCCCUCAGUGGGGUUAGGGGGCACUGUCAUUCUGCCUUGACUGGUGCCUAGCAGCUGACUUAGAACUGGUGCAGGCCAGGGGGAUCUGACUGUUUAAUGAAAACAAAGCAUCACAAAGGACUGCAGUAGGUGUUGACUCAAUGUGAUUUCUGCCCAGUGCUCUGAAUGUCAAAGUGAAGAAAUUCAAUGAAGCGCAGGUAAAUGGCAGGACUGUCUUAACCAACCCUGUAAUUUGGAAAGGGUCUGAGGAAGGCAGCCCAUUUAAAUCUGUCCC